CGAGGAAUAUUGGUCAAUGGGCGGAAGCCUGAACCAGCCAAGUAGCGUGCAGGACGACGGCCCUAUGGGUUGUAAACUGCUUUUAUGCGGGGAUAAAGUGGGCCACGUGUGGCCUUUUGCAGGUACCGCAUGAAUAAGGACCGGCUAAUUCCGUGCCAGCAGCCGCGGUAAUACGGAAGGUCCGGGCGUUAUCCGGAUUUAUUGGGUUUAAAGGGAGCGCAGGCCGCCGGGCAAGCGUGUUGUGAAAUGCAGUCGCUCAACGUCUGCACUGCAGCGCGAACUGCCCAGCUUGAGUGCGCGCAACCGUUGGCGGAAUUCGCCGUGUAGCGGUGAAAUGCUUAGA
rnacentral:rRNA from 1 species